UGAUGCGUUUCCUCUGUGGGAGUUUGAUUCUGACGAGUUGCUGCCCAAUCUCAAUAGCUCUGGUCAGCGCAGUGUGGUUUGGUUCCAAACUGAUGCCGAUUGUGUUCUGAAAGCUGACCUAUCUGCGCCACGUGGGGAAAGCAAGUGGGAGGCUCAAGAACCUGUACUGGCUUAUCUAAUCAACUCCGGGGAGAUAAAUCAGGAGACGGCUGAAUUGAUGUGGAUAAACUGUAGGCUUGAGAUGAUGCAGGCCGAACAAGCUUUAGAAAACCUUGAAGUAUGCAUCUCAGAGGAGUGGCCAAUGGACAAGGAACGUUCGUCAUCAGCCAAAGCAGAUAUAAGUAAAACUGUCAAUAUCUUACAUCCACAGGCCAAAUUCUUCUGAAAGGCGUGAGUUAAUUCAGAGAUUUGGAGGAGCAGCAGCAACAGCAGUUUCUUCACCUAGUCCACCGUUAAAUGAUUCAGUUGUUGGUUUUUGGGGACUGGCUCUGGAUGAGGAAGAAAUUAUGAAAGCCCUCUUCUUAGCUUAAGCUUAAGUGACCAUUCCAUUGCCUCUUCACAGAAGUCAUUUGGUCUUCAAACUUCAGUGAAUGACGAAAAGCUUGGUAACCAAUUAUUUAAUAACAAAUUGAACCAUAACAAAAUUAGCAGCAAGUUCUAUAUGAAGUCUCAUUCUGUGAGUGAUUAAAAAAUUGAGAUUCCAGUUGGAACCAUUACUGCAGCCACCAUAAGCUCAGCAGAUGAUUCUGUGCAGAAAACACCUGGAAUGUUGGGUACUUCUGGAUUGCCUGUACUGAAGCCGCCUUCUGGAAAGGCAGAUCCUCCUAAACUACCUCCAGGCAAGACAGCUCCGCCCUGCCCCCGCCUGCUCUACCUGUACCACCAGCACCACACAUGAAACUUUCGUCUGGUGGGCCUCAUCCUCCGCCUCCUGGGCCACCACCUCCUGCUGCUAUACCUUCUGGUAUCAGGACUGGUCCUAACCCACCACCACCUCCUCCAUCUUCUAUACCUUCUGGCAUCAAGAUUGGUCCUCACCCACCACCAUCCCCUCCACCCGCUAUAAGUUCUGGCAUCAUGACUGGUACUUACCCACCACCACCUCCAGACGGUGUCUCUCCACCAAGGCCACCUCCCGUUGGCUUGAAACCACCUCCACCUCUUGGAUCUACUUUAGGGGGAGAUGCAGGUGCUCCUAAAGCUAAGCUGAACUUUUCUUUUGGGACAAGGUUUUGGUGAACUCUGAUAAUUCAGUGGUUUGGCAUUGGAUCAAAUCUGGCUCUUUCCAGUUCAAUGAAGAGAUGAUAGAGACCAUAUAUGGCUAUACCCCUGCUGAAAAAAAUAAGAAUGAGGCCAAGAAAGACUUCAUUUCAAGAUCCUCCAACCCAAUUUAUUCAAAUAAUUGAUUCAAAAAAGUCAAUAAUCUUUUGGAUCUUCUCAAAGCAUUAAAAUGUGACUACACAAUAAGUUUGUGAUGCACUUCGAGAAGGUGAGUUUAUUUCUCUGUUCCAUUUUGAAUUUGGGAUACACAGUAGCAGGCUGCAGAGUAGAAGAUUAUUGAUGAUGUAGAUGUCAGCAGGGAAAUCUCAUGUGCUUCAAAGAAUGAUCAGAUGGCCAAAAAAAUAUUUAGUCUAGUUUUAUGCGUUGUGGUGAGCAUCCAACAUAUCUUUGACUAAUUAUUUCUGCCCCGAAGAGGAAAAAAACAUGGUAAGUUAUAAAAAUGCUCUAUCUUCAUCAAGCCUCAGUGAAAACCAAGUCCUCAUAUAUAUGAUGCUUAAGUUUUUGGAAGUCCGAGUCUGGAUUAUAAUAUUCUAACAUGGUGGUUAUAAAUGUUGAUUCACUAAUACAAUUCAUAAAUUACCUUAUGGUUCACACCUUUCUUUGUUUUUGUUUGUGUGCGAGAGGCAUUCUUGUCUUAGCAAGUGUCUGUGUUAAUGGCGGUUUAAAACCUGAGAUAGAUCUCCUGGUCCUCAAUGUUUCCCAUUGUCAUUUUUUUCCCUCUGUCUAAUUUAUUUUAGUGUCUCCUUAAAAGUAUGAAGAAAUAUGGACAUGAUUCAGAAUCGCUAGGUGAUGCAACCUUUUUCUCUUUUAAAACAUAGACUCGUCCAUGUGAGAAAUUUAUGAUUUGUUUGCCUUGUGACUACUUGGUAGUAUUUGAUUAUAACAGUAUUUAAAUGACUCCUUUAUAGCUUAUUGCUGCAAUUUAUCUAUAUAUUCACAAUUUUCUUUAUGUGAUGAAAUUUCUGGAGUUAAAUGAUUUCUAAUCAGUUCUCUCAGGAUCCUUGCUUCGGAUGUUCUCUGUUUGAGAGGAUCUGGUGGUUCCUGGUGGAACGCUUGUUAGGAAAUGAAAUGUUUUAGGUAAUUAGCUUCCUUUGGAGUUUAUUCAACAUUUGAUAAAGAUGGCACCAACAGCUGAAGAAGAAUUGAAGCUGAGACUAUAUAGUGGCAAGCUUUCUCAAAUUGGUACGGCUGAUGGCUUCCUGAAAGUCUUGUUUGACAUUCCAUUUGCCUUUAAGUGGUAUUGUUGGGCUUUGAAUCCUUCUAGUGUAUCUGCAUAUUUGUUUGAUCUAUGCUUUGUCUAAAAGCGUGUUUAGAAAGGUUGAAGGUAUUAAUUUAAUCAAUACGUGCUAGCUCUUGGUUUAAAUGAUGAUUCCAAUUAGUGUAGCUUAUAUACAAAUACCAUUACUUA